UGUUCAAUGGUGUAAUGGUCAGCACUCUGGACUUUUGAUCCAGUUGAUCCGAGUUCAAGUCUCGGUUGAACCU
rnacentral:tRNA from 1 species